UUGAAAGGGAAACGAUUGAAGUCAGUCGUACCGGCGGGUAAUCAGCCUUUCGGGUAUGAUUCUGUGGAGCGUGAGGAGUUAAACGCCUUCAUGCCUGCAUAUUCGUGCUCUUGGGUGUACUUGCUCGUGUGGUUGGUUAACAUCAAUUUUGGUUAUCAUAAAAUGACUGGAGGAAUGUAGCUUCGAUCUCGUAUUGAAGUGUUAUAGCCUUCGGUAGAUGUGAUGAUCGAGAUUGAGGAUUGCAACGGAUACCCUUCGGGGCUACCUGUCUGGUCUCUGAUCGUUGCUCUGGUGCCGAAAGCGUGCUUACGGUUAUCAAAGUCGAUGGUCAAUAGGUUAGAACGGGUUAAAUUCGUUAAGGAUGUUGACGUA
rnacentral:rRNA from 1 species